rnacentral:tRNA from 1 species
UACCGCGUACUGUAGCGGUUAACACACUCGACUCCCAAUCGAGAGGGCCCGGGUUCGAGUCCCGGGAAGCGGCGAGGUAA